rnacentral:rRNA from 1 species
GACGAACGCUGGCGGCGUGCUUAACACAUGCAAGUCGAACGGAGCACCCUUGACUGAGGUUUCGGCCAAAUGAUAGGAAUGCUUAGUGGCGGACUGGUGAGUAACGCGUGAGGAACCUGCCUUCCAGAGGGGGACAACAGUUGGAAACGACUGCUAAUACCGCAUGACGCAUGACCGGGGCAUCCCGGGCAUGUCAAAGAUUUUAUCGCUGGAAGAUGGCCUCGCGUCUGAUUAGCUAGAUGGUGGGGUAACGGCCCACCAUGGCGACGAUCAGUAGCCGGACUGAGAGGUUGACCGGCCACAUUGGGACUGAGAUACGGCCCAGACUCCUACGGGAGGCAGCAGUGGGGAAUAUUGGGCAAUGGACGCAAGUCUGACCCAGCAACGCCGCGUGAAGGAAGAAGGCUUUCGGGUUGUAAACUUCUUUUGUCAGGGAAGAGUAGAAGACGGUACCUGACGAAUAAGCCACGGCUA